GGUUGUGACUCAGUGGUACAGCGCUUGCCUAGCAUGCAUGAGGCACUGGGUUCGAUCCCCGGAACCA
rnacentral:tRNA from 1 species